AGAGUUUGAUCCUGGCUCAGAACGAACGCUGGCGGCGCGUCUUAAACAUGCAAGUCGAACGAAAACCUCAGUGCUUGCACAGAGGGGACAGUGGCGGACGGGUGAGUAACACGUGGGUAAUCUGCCUUUUGGUCGGGGACAACUUCGGGAAACCGGAGCUAAUACCGGAUAAGAUGAUAUUCUGUAGGGAGUAUCAUUAAAGAUGGGGAUCGCAAGACCUAUCGCCAGGAGAUGAGCCUGCGUCCCAUUAGCUUGUUGGUGGGGUAAAAGCCUACCAAGGCGACGAUGGGUAGCCGGCCUGAGAGGGUGAACGGCCACAUUGGGACUGAGAUACGGCCCAGACUCCUACGGGAGGCAGCAGUUAAGAAUCUUGGACAAUGGACGAAAGUCUGAUCCAGCGACGCCGCGUGAAUGAUGAAGGUCUUCGGAUUGUAAAGUUCAUUAAGCAGAGACGAAUAAGUGCAGGGAAAUAUUCUGUACGGUGACGGUAUCUGCCUAAAGCCACGGCUAAAUACGUGCCAGCAGCCGCGGUAAUACGUAUGUGGCGAGCGUUGUUCGGAAUUAUUGGGCAUAAAGGACAUCUAGGCGGGGUAUUAAGUCGAGUGUGAAAUCUGGAGGCUCAACCUCCAAACUGCAUUCGAUACUGGUACUCUUGAGUUAGGGAGAGGAAAGCGGAAUUCCAGGUGUAGCGGUGAAAUGCGUAGAUAUCUGGAAGAACACCGGUGGCGAAGGCGGCUUUCUGGCCUAUAACUGACGCUGAAGUGCGAAAGCGUGGGGAGCGAACGGGAUUAGAUACCCUAGUAGUCC
rnacentral:rRNA from 1 species